UACGUAGGGUGCAAGCGUUGUCCGGAAUUAUUGGGCGUAAAGAGCUUGUAGGCGGUUUGUCGCGUCUGCUGUGAAAUUUCGGGGCUCAACCCCGAACUUGCAGUGGGUACGGGCAGACUAGAGUGCGGAAGGGGCAACUGGAAUUCUUGGUGUAGCGGUGAAAUGCGUAGAUAUCAAGAGGAACACCUGCGGCGAAGGCGGGUUGCUGGGCCGACACUGACGCUGAUAGCGCGAAAGCUAGGGGAGCGAACGGG
rnacentral:rRNA from 1 species